UACGUAGGGUGCGAGCGUUGUCCGGAAUUAUUGGGCGUAAAGGGCUCGUAGGCGGUUUGUCGCGUCGGGAGUGAAAACCCAGGGCUUAACUCUGGGCUGGCUUUCGAUACGGGCAGACUAGAGGUAUGCAGGGGAGAACGGAAUUCCUGGUGUAGCGGUGAAAUGCGCAGAUAUCAGGAGGAACACCGGUGGCGAAGGCGGUU
rnacentral:rRNA from 1 species